GGGCCUGUAGCUCAGCUGGUUAGAGCACCUGCUUUGCAAGCAGGGGGUCAGGAGUUCGAAUCUCCUCAGGUCCACCA
rnacentral:tRNA from 1 species